rnacentral:lncRNA from 1 species
GGAAGAUGUCCACGGACAGUUUUCAAGUUGGGUGAUUGCAAAGCCAUCUGCCUCCGGGGGAGGGCAAACAAGGGGUGGUGCGAGCCAGGGAGAGAAGACGCAGAAGUCACAAGCGAGCAGAAGAGCUCAGGAGGAGACACAGUGACAAACGGCCACAGAGGAGGGAGGGAGACACAGCAGGCAGAGCCUGUGGGUAUCAACAACCUCUUCCUGACACCGUGGCCCCUGGGCAGACCCAGCUGGUCUCAGUGCCUGCUCCUCCUGCCUGAGUCUUCGGAGUCCCUGAAUUCCUGCAAUCUUGUAGGAAUCCAUUCUCUCUCUCUCUCUCUCUCUCUCUCUCUCUCUCUCUCUCUCUCUCUCUCUCUCAAAGAAGCUCUGGGCAGAUAUCUGAAGAGUGCGUUCCUCGACAUCACACAGCCAGCAGAGGGCGACAUCAGGACUGCAGCCUGGGAUUCCAGGGUCCUUUCUGCUGUUCUGGACAGGCCCAGAUUCCCGAGCCUGGAGCUCCCCACCCCGCGUGAGUGCACCCAGGUCGCACAGAUGCCAGCCUUUGGAGGAUGCUGGAGUCCAGCGGGGACAGCCAAGACCUCAGGCUGGGUAAAGCUACCGGGUGUAGCCCUAUUUGCCCUGGGCACCAUGCAGAGAUCACCCUAUUCUUGUGCAAGGACACAAAAAAGAUGGGCAGUGAUGCCCAGGUGAGGGCACAGCCGCUGCCCUGGUGGUGAGGGAGCUCUUUGUGGAUUCGUCUUCUGUAUCUCGGGAGGCUGUGGCACUUCACAGACCCUGCUGGCCACGAGGCAGCCUCUGCCGGGACACAGCCAGCUGUGGCUCGGUGCCAGCCUUUCACACGCCAACCUGUCCAUCUUGAGUCUGCGCUCCAAGCACCCUCUGAUCUAAUUCCCACGCACCCAGCCAAUGUUCCUCUGCCCACAUCAUCCUGGGCAGUGCCAGGCAGCAGGAGCCCCCCUGACAGCCCAGAGCCUGCUGGGAGGCUCAAAGCAGCCGGUCCC